AUCCCAGAUAAAGCUCUUUGUAUUUAUCUGAUUCAUGGGAGGCAAAAAAAGACUGGAAGAUUUGCUGAUAGCACCCCUUUAAACCUUUCAGGAGGUGUUUACUAGUUGCCUUCCACACAUGU
rfam:Medicago truncatula strain A17 chromosome 2, whole genome shotgun sequence.